AAAAGAAGAGGGUGGCAGAGAAUGAGGUGGUUACAUAGCAUCACCAACUCAAUGGGCAUGAAUCUGAGCAAACCCUGGGAGACAGUGGAGGAGAGGAGCCUGGGAUGCUGCAGUCCAUGGGGUCGCAGAAUUGGACAUAGCUUAGUGACUAAACAAUACAGAACAGGGGACACAGUCAUGUAGACUGAGUGCAUGAUGGCCCCACCGUGGACAUUACAGUAUUGAUGGGAACAGGUGUGACUGUUCACCAGCUUUGCCUGGGUCAUGAAGGAUUCAUGUUGGUCUUUUCUAACCCAUUCUAUUCUGGACCUGGCUGUCUCCAUCAGCCUCCAGUGGGGCCAUCCGUUGCGUUUCUCCCAUUGGCUUUAUCCCCUAGGCGUUUUGGGAUCCUGCAGUCAAUGCAGCUCCAGUCCUUUCUUUACUCUUCACCUAGAGCUGCCACUCUCACAGGCAGCUGUCUUCCUCCUGACUGCUCAGUCACUUGUCACAUGAAGAAUGGCUUGUGAUUCCUGGGGGAUUGGGACAUUCCUAUUCUUGAGAGGCUGAGGCAGCUGAAUUUGUAAGCCUACUCAUAUCUCUAUUCAGGAAACCUGCAGGACUGACCCUACAUGUGGGUGUUUUAAAAUUCCAUUUUCUGUUAGAUGUUCUAUUCAGGUGUUGUUUUGUUUGGUUUUUCCUUUUCUGUGAAAUACUGUCUGAGCAAGUUGCUUUAUUAUUUUCAUUUUUUAACUCAGUAUAACUCUCAGUUCAGGGUCUGGUUUUAGUAGCAAUUUAAAAAUCUAGCCCUUUAAAAAUCUGACUUCUCCUUGUUUAGUUGGUUUAAAAUGUCUGUUUUAAACACAUGCCUCAGCUAUAUAAAUUAAUGAAACCUUAAGCACGUAAGAGCCUUCUAUAUUUGAUGGGUAUUUUGUUGACCUGGGACUCUAUGAAAGGCACUGUCAGCCAAGCCUAUUUAGAAUUUCUUUUUCCCUGGAAAUGGUAAUUUACAAGAUUCCUAUAAAUAAUAUACAUAAUCUCCUUCCACAAUUUUUUACUAUGAUAAAAUAUACAUCACAUAUUAUUUACUCUCAACCAUUUAAACUGUGCAGUUCAGGACUUUCCUGGUGGAUCAAGGGUUAAGAAUCUGCUUGUUAAUGCAGGGGACAUGGGUUCAAUCCUUGGUCCAGGAAAAUACCACAUGCCUCAGGACAACUUAAGCCUGUACAUCACAACUACUGAAGCCUGACUGCCCUACAACCUGUACUCCACAACAAGAGAAGCCACUGCAAUGAGAGAAGCCCAUGAACAGCAACUACAGAGUAGUCCCUCUCCCUACAACUAGAGAAAGCCUGAAUGUAGCAACUGAAGACCCAGCAUCAGUUCAGUUCAGUUCAGUCGCUCAGUCGUGUCUGACUCUGC
rnacentral:lncRNA from 1 species